GUUGAACGCUGGCGGCAGGCUUAACACAUGCAAGUCGAGCGAGCGGCGGACGGGUGAGUAAUGUAUGGGAAAUUGCCUGAAGGAGGGGGAUAACUAAUGGAACCGGUGGUAAAACCGGCUUACCUGUCGCUGUGCCCAGAUGGGAUUAGCUAGUAGGUGGGGGAAUGGCUAACCUAGGCGACGAUCCCUAGCUGGUCUGAGAGGUUGACCAGCCACACUGGAACUGAGACACGGUCCAGACUCCUACGGGAGGCAGCAGUGGGGAAUAUUGCACAAUGGGCGCAAGCCUGAUGCAGCAAGGCCGCGUGUGUGAAGAAGGCCUUCGGGUUGUAAAGCACUUUCAGCGAGGAGGCGUUACUCGCAGAAGAAGCACCGGCUAACUCCGUGCCAGCAGCCGCGGUAAUUC
rnacentral:rRNA from 1 species